UAAAUUGUAUAUAUUUUUAUUUUUUGAAAGUAUAUGAAAGUGAUACUUAAAAAUGUUAAAUAACAUAUAAAUCUAAAAAAGUUAGAAAAAUAGUGAAACCCUAUGGAGCAUUCUCAUGCCACUCUCGCCUCUUCACUAUCGACCGUCGCCGUCCACCGUUCUCACCGCCGUCCACCGUUCUCGUCACGGUUUGAAUUCUCAUUUCGUUCAACUUUCUCAUCACAGUUCUACGAUUUCACAUCUUCAUUUUCAGUGAAAACUUGCUCGCAGGAACCCUAAUCUAUUAUGUCGAAUCGCAGGUAGGAGAUUUGAAUUAGGUCAGUUGAAAUCGUGUUGACAUUGUAAUUGUUGUUCAAAAACUAGUUUUUAUGCUUCCUUUAGAUAUAAUUUAGAGUAGAUUCGGUUCAUGAACUUGUUACAGAGGAAUAACUGAGCAUGGAAAAGUAACCUUGCUAUCAUAUGUUAUUGAUUUGGUUCAUGAACUGAGCUUAUGAAAGAUUUAUAUUUAUUUAGUAUAAGUUUUUUUCUUUGUCAUGGACAGGUUUUAUUUCUAGAACUGAGGAAGAUUGAAAAACUUGAAGAAGAAAAUAUGCUUCAACGAAUGUUUGCCGGUGGUGCCAAAUGUCAAUUAAUGCCUUUUUGUAAACUUGAAUUACAUGCUAAUAUCGAAUUUUCCGACUAGACCUAAGGGUUUGAUUACUCUUGGUUUUUAAUAGUUACUAAUUUAUUGGUGCUGCUGGUUUAUAUAUGUAAAUUGCUAUUGUUUCUUGCAGAGUUUUGAGGCUUUGAAUCAGCGAGCAGUGGCUGUAGUUGUGGAUCCAAUUCAAAGUGUUAAAGGAAAAGUGGUGAUUGAUGCUUUUCGAUUGAUCAAUCCACAGACAAUGAUGCUCGGGCAAGAACCAAGGCAGACAACUUCCAAUCUGGGGCAUCUGAAUAAACCAUCUAUUCAGGUUUUCACCGAAACCGUUUUUCAUUUAUGUUGACAUGUCAUGGACAAAUAUCGAUCCUGCCGGUCUUGAUCUUCUUUCGGUACACAUAACUGUUUUUGAAUAGGUGCCUAAAUUACUUAACUCUUUUAUUCAUCUACUGAAAGUUUAUUUAUUAUGCCUGCUGUUGUGUUGGACAGAGAAUGCUUUGCCUGUACCCAAAUGGCAGGAUUUCAGCUAAUGAAACUCUUAACCAUCCAUAUCUUCAAUUUUGACCGCCCAAGGGCCUAUUCUCUCUUUCUUUCUACUUUUAACAGAACAAUCUUAUAGAAUCUUUGUCUUAAACAGUGUUUGAACAUCUAAAUCAUCAAGGUUCAAAAUUGUAGCUUGAGAAACUCCACUGAGAGAGCUCCAAACCUCAAUCUGUAGUAUUUAUUUAUUGAGUGAAUUACUUGAACUUUUAAUAAUAAUUAAGUAAUUUAUUUCUUUUUCCAGGCUGCAUAUUGUCAGGUUUGUUUCAUGAAUUCAGAGUGAAAGCAAAUGUGCUCUUGUGUAUGGUCAAAUGAACGAGCCACCUGGUUCUCGUGCCGGUGUUGGACUUACUGGACUCACUGUCGCUAAACACUUCCGUGAUGCUGAAGGACAUGAUGUGCUUCUUUUCAUCGACAACAUUUUCCGCUUUACUCAAGUAUGGACAACUUAUCCUGGGACCAGAAGUUGGAAGAAGCAAAGAAGGACGACAAGAUUUACUCAAGAUUACAUGUUCGAUGAAAGUGUUUGCCUCCUACUUCGGGCCAAGUGGUUCAAGCCUUUAGCUGUUGAAGAGCGUCCAGUUGUUGAAGAAGAUAUCUAUGAGAUAGAAGACUAUUAUUAUCAGUAUGAAGAAGCUGAUGAUGAUCUAGAUGACAAUGAGGCUUACUAUGGUGCUUCAGCAAAUGUCCGGCUUGGCAACCGUAGAUGGGGAGACAACAGUUUUGUAAGGGCUGGGCGUCAAGAAGCUCGGCCGGUCCAUCAACCAAGCUUCCAGGAUUCAGGAGAGGGGAAGAAAGGUGGAGUUACCGAACAUAAAUGGAGAAACGACGGUGGUCAUUUUCAAUGGUGUGGUGGUCGCGUCGGCUGAGGAGCGCAUUGAUACUUGUUGCAGCGGCGUGAUGCACUUCGGAGGAAAUUUCCAGCAGUUUUCUGGCGGUCGAAAAACGUGAAUCUCCUCUUCCCUUUUGAUGGAAUCUCAACUGUUUCAACAUCAAUAGUUCCUCUGUGAUGGAAAAACGGUUUUUCAAUUUCACUCACUGUGUCGUUGUUUCCCUCUACUGCUACCUUAAACUUUGCAUCUCUCAACUAAAGGUAAUCCCUUCCAUCCAUCUCGUCUUCAUCGAUCUGAUAUCCUCAAACCUAUAACUCUUUGUAUUUUGAUGUUAUCAAAAUUUGUAACAUGAAUCAGUAAUUCAUCUCUCAAAAUUUGUGCUUUUUUUGGGGGUUUUCUUUAUUUGGGGUUUAUUAUUAAUUCAUAUUGUUGGGUUGAUGCUAAUGUAAUCCCAUUUCAUUUGCUCAAUUGUUAAGUUGGAUAAUGUAAAGGCUUUAAUUUUAUUUGAUAUUAACUACUUUACACCUUAUAAUUUUACAGAUGUUGAAAGCAAUGUUAAAGAAUGGCCCAUGGUCAAUCAAUUAAAGACAUGAUAAAAGUGAAGAAAAUUGAGAGGACAUUCGAUCGUUUCAUGGAGUUCGUUGUUCACUUUAGUUCAUGCAUGCCUGUUCAGAUUUCGUUUUAAGCUUCGAUUCGCUACAAUUGUUUUUGAGGUAUAAACUCUGCCACUUCAAUCCUUUCUGUUUAGUUUAUUUUUUAUUUAUUUUUUUGCUUUGUUAUUUGCUUUAAGUUCAACGUUGUUCUAGCUUUUAGGGCAUAGGAAUUAUUUUUACUGAAUAAUUUGAUGAAUGAUUGCUUGUUUAGGUUCUAAUUAGUAGCUGAUUAUUGUAAAAUCAAUUUUGAAAAGAGCUUCAAAUGUUUGUACAUUCUAAUUUUGAAUAUAGAAUUUAUUUUUUCAUUCUUUGUGUGUAGCUGAUGAUUGAGGAUUGUAAAAUUCUUGAUCCUUAAGAUUUUGCUAUAACUAGAAAUAGGAAAAUAUUAAUUAUAAUGAUUAGGAAAAUAUUAAUUAUAGUGUAUGGGAUUCAAACUAAGAAGUUUCUGUUUAGAAAUCCGAUAAUUAAUUGAAAGUGUAACUUGAGAAGCUUUGUAUCUUGAUUUUGUAUGAUAAUGUAAUACAUUGCAUAUAAUAGUAGAUAGAUAGUUUUGCUGAUUAAGUUGGAUAUUUAUUGUUAAAUAUUGCUUCAGAUUGUAUUAAUAUUCACGCCAGAAAUCAAUGAUGCAAAGACCCAAGAGCUUGGUUUUAUGAGUCAUUUAUAGUAAUGUUUCAAAAUUUUAAUAAAUUAUUUUUUUUAAUUUGAUAGA